rnacentral:rRNA from 1 species
AACGAACGCUGGCGGCAUGCUUAACACAUGCAAGUCGAACGAUACCUCCGGGUCUGGUGGGGGACGGGUGGGUAACGGGGGGAAAACUGCGUUAGGGUUCGGAAUAACUCCCCGAAAGGGGUGCUAAUACCGGAUAAUGUUUUCGGACACAAGAUUUAUCGCCUUUGGAUGGGCCCGGGUUGGGUUAGGUAGUUGGUAGGGUUAAAGCCUGGCAAGGCGACGAUCCAGAGCUGGUCGGGGAGGAUGAUCAGCCACACUGGGAAUGAGACACGGCCCAGACUCCUACGGGAGGCAGCAGUAGGGAAUAUUGGACACUGGGCGAAAGCCUGAUGCAGCAGUGCCGCGUGAGAGAUGAAUGCCUUAGGGUUGUAAAGCUCUCUUACCCGGGAUGAUAAUGACAGUACCGGGAGAAUAAGCGCCGGCUAACUCCGUG